GAUGAACGCUGGCGGCGUGCCUAAUACAUGCAAGUCGAGCGAACGGACGAGAAGCUUGCUUCUCUGAUGUUAGCGGCGGACGGGUGAGUAACACGUGGAUAACCUACCUAUAAGACUGGGAUAACUUCGGGAAACCGGAGCUAAUACCGGAUGAUAUUUUGAACCGCAUGGUUCAAAAGUGAAAGACGGUCUUGCUGUCACUUAUAGAUGGAUCCGCGCUGCAUUAGCUAGUUGGUAAGGUAACGGCUUACCAAGGCAACGAUGCAUAGCCGACCUGAGAGGGUGAUCGGCCACACUGGAACUGAGACACGGUCCAGACUCCUACGGGAGGCAGCAGUAGGGAAUCUUCCGCAAUGGGCGAAAGCCUGACGGAGCAACGCCGCGUGAGUGAUGAAGGUCUUCGGAUCGUAAAACUCUGUUAUUAGGGAUGAACAUAUGUGUAAGUAACUGUGCACAUCUUGACGGUACCUAAUCAGAAAGCCACGGCUGACUACGUG
rnacentral:rRNA from 1 species